rnacentral:rRNA from 1 species
UGGGGAAUCUUGGACAAUGGGCGCAAGCCUGAUCCAGCCAUGCCGCGUGAGUGACGAAGGCCUUAGGGUUGUAAAACUCUUUCGUCGGGGACGAUAAUGACGGUACCCGAAGAAGAAGCUCCGGCUAACUUCGUGCCAGCAGCCGCGGUAAUACGAAGGGAGCUAGCGUUGUUCGGAAUCACUGGGCGUAAAGCGCACGUAGGCGGAUAGUUAAGUCAGGGGUGAAAUCCUGGGGCUCAACCCCAGAACUGCCUUUGAUACUGGCUGUCUCGAGGUCGAGAGAGGUUGGUGGAAUUCCUAGUGUAGAGGUGAAAUUCGUAGAUAUUAGGAAGAACACCAGUGGCGAAGGCGGCCAACUGGCUCGAUACUGACGCUGAGGUGCGAAAGCGUGGGGAGCAAACAGGAUUAGAUACCCUAGUAGUCCCUGAGCGGGCUGGCAAGGCGCAU